rnacentral:lncRNA from 1 species
GGUUUCCCCUUCCUCCUUCACUCUUUAUCAGCAAGUUUAGGGACUACUAAUUUCUUUCUCCAGGGCCCCAGUCUCAGUCAAGACUGCAGUCAGGAUGGCUGAGCUGUCUUGGGCGUAAGGAUGUAAGGACGGCUUGCCAGAAGCAAGUGGCCUAGAGGAGCAGCCAGAGGGAGAAGCUGGGCUCACAUACCCCUGGCAUUUCCUUCUGGGUCUUCUAUGCAGACGGAUCUGGUUUGCCCUCCUCUAAGCUCGAGAAUUGGGUUGAAGUCGUGAUAGGAUAAACCUAAGCUUAAAAGGGGGAGACAGACCUCAUAAACAGUAAAUGAUUUUCCAAACCUGCGAAGGAGAGUGCUUCUUCUUUCCUUGUUUCUAAAAUGAAGCAGAGAAGCGGACCCGUCCGUUCCUGAGCACCCCCCCCCACCUUACCAGCACAAAAUUCUAGAAACAGACUUUCCCCCUUCAUUCUCUCUCAACGAGAUUCGAGGGCAUUUACCCAGCUCUCCCUUGAGGGAACGGGCCCAUGCCACGCAGGGGUUAACUUUUCUGAAAACACAAUUAACUUUUCCCUAUUCCUGCGUGGGGUGGGGGGAGGGUGUAUUUAUUUCAUCACUGGGAAAUGGGAUGAUCUCCAUCUAACUGUUUCCUCCUCCCUCAAAAGCACAGACGUCUCUUUCGCAGAUCCUACGUAGGUGGAUCAGGGCGCGUUGUGGAGAGAGAGAGAGAGAGAGAGAGAGAGAGAGAGAGAGAGAGAGAGAGAGAGAGAGAGAGAGAGAGAGGAGGGGGAAAAGGUUGAUAGGUUUGUGCGCGGGUCCCUCGUGCAGGCUGCGCUCCUCCUGGGUGCUAUUUGACAAUUCCUGCCUCUGCCAUUGGUCAGUGUUGGAUCAGAUGGUUGUAUUUCCUUCUGGCCCUCACUGGCACCUCGCCAUCCCCCCUCAGCUAAAACCCAAUCUCGGCUAUACUACUAAUAGGCGCGGCGCUCGGACUAUAAAACACAACAAAUCAUAAACCCGGCGGAGCAGCAGCGGCCG